rnacentral:rRNA from 1 species
UUUGGUUAAGUUAGAAAGGGCGCACGGUGGAUGCCUUGACACUAGGAGUCGAUGAAGGACGGGACUAACGCCGAUAUGCUUCGGGGAGCUGUAAGUAAGCUUUGAUCCGAAGAUUUCCGAAUGGGGAAACCCACCAUACGUAAUGGUAUGGUAUCCUUAUCUGAAUACAUAGGGUAAGGAAGACAGACCCAGGGAACUGAAACAUCUAAGUACCUGGAGGAAGAGAAAGCAAAUGCGAUUUCCUGAGUAGCGGCGAGCGAAACGGAACAUAGCCCAAACCAAGAGGCUUGCCUCUUGGGGUUGUAGGACAUUCUAUACGGAGUUACAAAGGAACGAGGUAGACGAAGCGACCUGGAAAGGUCCGUCGUAGAGGGUAACAACCCCGUAGUCGAAACUUCGUUCUCUCUUGAAUGUAUCCUGAGUACGGCGGAACACGUGAAAUUCCGUCGGAAUCUGGGAGGACCAUCUCCCAAGGCUAAAUACUCCCUAGUGAUCGAUAGUGAACCAGUACCGUGAGGGAAAGGUGAAAAGCACCCCGGAAGGGGAGUGAAAGAGAUCCUGAAACCGUGUGCCUACAAAUAGUCAGAGCCCGUUAAUGGGUGAUGGCGUGCCUUUUGUAGAAUGAACCGGCGAGUUACGAUCCCGUGCGAGGUUAAGCUGAAGAGGCGGAGCCGCAGCGAAAGCGAGUCUGAAUAGGGCGUUUAGUACGUGGUCGUAGACCCGAAACCAGGUGAUCUACCCAUGUCCAGGGUGAAGUUCAGGUAACACUGAAUGGAGGCCCGAACCCACGCACGUUGAAAAGUGCGGGGAUGAGGUGUGGGUAGCGGAGAAAUUCCAAUCGAACCUGGAGAUAGCUGGUUCUCCCCGAAAUAGCUUUAGGGCUAGCCUUAAGUGUAAGAGUCUUGGAGGUAGAGCACUGAUUGGACUAGGGGUCCUCAUCGGAUUACCGAAUUCAGUCAAACUCCGAAUGCCAAUGACUUAUCCUUAGGAGUCAGACUGCGAGUGAUAAGAUCCGUAGUCAAAAGGGAAACAGCCCAGACCGCCAGCUAAGGUCCCAAAGUGUGUAUUAAGUGGAAAAGGAUGUGGAGUUGCUUAGACAACUAGGAUGUUGGCUUAGAAGCAGCCACCAUUUAAAGAGUGCGUAAUAGCUCACUAGUCGAGUGACUCUGCGCCGAAAAUGUACCGGGGCUAAAUACACCACCGAAGCUGCGGAUUGAUACCAAUGGUAUCAGUGGUAGGGGAGCGUUCUAAGGACAGUGAAGUCAGACCGGAAGGACUGGUGGAGUGCUUAGAAGUGAGAAUGCCGGUAUGAGUAGCGAAAGACGGGUGAGAAUCCCGUCCACCGAAUGCCUAAGGUUUCCUGAGGAAGGCUCGUCCGCUCAGGGUUAGUCAGGACCUAAGCCGAGGCCGACAGGCGUAGGCGAUGGACAACAGGUUGAUAUUCCUGUACCACCUCUUUAUCGUUUGAGCAAUGGAGGGACGCAGAAGGAUAGAAGAAGCGUGCGAUUGGUUGUGCACGUCCAAGCAGUUAGGCUGAUAAGUAGGCAAAUCCGCUUAUCAUAAAGGCUGAGCUGUGAUGGGGAAGCUCCUUAUGGAGCGAAGUCUUUGAUUCCCCGCUGCCAAGAAAAGCUUCUAGCGAGAUAAAAGGUGCCUGUACCGCAAACCGACACAGGUAGGCGAGGAGAGAAUCCUAAGGUGUGCGAGAGAACUCUGGUUAAGGAACUCGGCAAAAUGACCCCGUAACUUCGGGAGAAGGGGUGCUUUCUUAACGGAAAGCCGCAGUGAAUAGGCCCAAGCGACUGUUUAGCAAAAACACAGCUCUCUGCGAAGCCGUAAGGCGAAGUAUAGGGGGUGACACCUGCCCGGUGCUGGAAGGUUAAGGAGAGGGGUUAGCGUAAGCGAAGCUCUGAACUGAAGCCCCAGUAAACGGCGGCCGUAACUAUAACGGUCCUAAGGUAGCGAAAUUCCUUGUCGGGUAAGUUCCGACCCGCACGAAAGGUGUAACGAUUUGGGCACUGUCUCAACCAGAGACUCGGUGAAAUUAUAGUACCUGUGAAGAUGCAGGUUACCCGCGACAGGACGGAAAGACCCCGUGGAGCUUUACUGUAGCCUGAUAUUGAAUUUUGGUACAGUUUGUACAGGAUAGGCGGGAGCCAUUGAAACCGGAGCGCUAGCUUCGGUGGAGGCGCUGGUGGGAUACCGCCCUGACUGUAUUGAAAUUCUAACCUACGGGUCUUAUCGACCCGGGAGACAGUGUCAGGUGGGCAGUUUGACUGGGGCGGUCGCCUCCUAAAGUGUAACGGAGGCGCCCAAAGGUUCCCUCAGAAUGGUUGGAAAUCAUUCGUAGAGUGCAAAGGCAUAAGGGAGCUUGACUGCGAGACCUACAAGUCGAGCAGGGACGAAAGUCGGGCUUAGUGAUCCGGUGGUUCCGCAUGGAAGGGCCAUCGCUCAACGGAUAAAAGCUACCCCGGGGAUAACAGGCUUAUCUCCCCCAAGAGUCCACAUCGACGGGGAGGUUUGGCACCUCGAUGUCGGCUCAUCGCAUCCUGGGGCUGUAGUCGGUCCCAAGGGUUGGGCUGUUCGCCCAUUAAAGCGGUACGCGAGCUGGGUUCAGAACGUCGUGAGACAGUUCGGUCCCUAUCCGUCGUGGGCGUAGGAAAUUUGAGAGGAGCUGUCCUUAGUACGAGAGGACCGGGAUGGACGCACCGCUGGUGUACCAGUUGUUCUGCCAAGGGCAUAGCUGGGUAGCUAUGUGCGGAAGGGAUAAGUGCUGAAAGCAUCUAAGCAUGAAGCCCCCCUCAAGAUGAGAUUUCCCAUAGCGUAAGCUAGUAAGAUCCCUGAAAGAUGAUCAGGUUGAUAGGUUCGAGGUGGAAGCAUGGUGACAUGUGGAGCUGACGAAUACUAAUAGAUCGAGGACUUAACCAUAUAA